CCUACGGGUGGCACCAGUGGGGAAUCUUGCCCAAUGGGCGCAAGCCUGAGGCAGCGACGCCGCGUGAGGGAAGAAGGCCUUCGGGUUGUAAACCUCUUUCAGGAGGGACGAAGCCACUCGGGUUAAUAGCCUAGAGGGUGACGGUACCUCCAGAAGAAGCCCCGGCUAACUACGUGCCAGCAGCCGCGGUAAUACGUAGGGGGCAAGCGUUGUCCGGAUUUACUGGGCGUAAAGAGCGUGUAGGCGGCCAGACAGGUCUGUUGUGAAAACUGGAGGCUUAACCUCCAGACGUCGACAGAAACCGUCUGGCUAGAGUCCGGAAGAGGAGAGUGGAAUUCCUGGUGUAGCGGUGAAAUGCGCAGAUAUCAGGAAGAACACCAAUGGCGAAGGCAGCUCUCUGGGACGGUACUGACGCUGAGACGCGAAAGCGUGGGGAGCGAACAGGAUUAGAUACCCUGGUAGUC
rnacentral:rRNA from 1 species